rnacentral:rRNA from 1 species
AUUGAACGCUGGCGGUAUGCUUAACACAUGCAAGUCGAACGGUAACAGGCCUUCGGGCGCUGACGAGUGGCGGACGGGAGAGUAACGCGUAGGAAUCUGCCUCAUAGUGGGGGACAACGAGGGGAAAAUCAAGCCAACACCGCAUACGCACUACGGGGGAAAGCGGGGGAUAUUCGGACCCCGCGCUUUGAGAGGACACUGCGUUAGAUUAGUUAGUUGGCAGGGUAAAGGCCUACAAAGGCGACGGUCUAUAGCUGGUCUGAGAGGACGAGCAGACACACUGGGACUGAGACACGGCCCAGACUCCUACGGGAGGAAGCAGUGGAGAAUAUUGCACAAUGGGGGAAACCCUGAUGCAGCCAUGCCGCGUGUGUGAAGAAGGCCUUCGGGUUGUAAAGCACUUUCAGUGGGGAGGAAGGGUUGAUGACUAAUAUUCAUAAGCAUUGACGUUACCAACAGAAGAAGCACCGGCUAACUCCGUGCCAGCAGCCGCCGUAAAAC